rnacentral:rRNA from 1 species
UACGUAGGGUGCGAGCGUUAAUCGGAAUUACUGGGCGUAAAGCGUGCGCAGGCGGUUUGGUAAGACAGACGUGAAAUCCCCGGGCGUUAACCCGGGUAACGUGCGUUUGUUGACUGUCAGACUAGAGUGUAGCAGAGGGGGGUAGGAAUUCCACGUGUAGCAGUAAAAUAGCGUAGAUAUGUGGAGGAAUACCAAUGGCGAAGGCAGCCCCCUCGGGUUAAG